rfam:Hordeum vulgare subsp. vulgare, WGS project CAJW01000000 data, contig: morex_contig_274757
CAAAUACUCCCUUCGUCCGGAAUUACUUGUCGUAUAAAUUUAUAAAAAUAGAUGUAUAUAGAACUAAAAUACAUCUAGAUGCAUCCAUUUCCAUGACAAGUAUUUUCGGACGGAGGGAGUAGUAA